rnacentral:rRNA from 1 species
AUUGAACGCUGGCGGCAGGCCUAACACAUGCAAGUCGAACGAGUGGCGGACGGGUGAGUAAUGUCUGGGAAACUGCCCGAUGGAGGGGGAUAACUACUGGAAACGGUAGCUAAUACCGCAUACCAUCGGAUGUGCCCAGAUGGGAUUAGCUAGUUGGUGAGGUAAAGGCUCACAAGGGCGACGAUACGUAGCCGACCUGCGAGGUUGAUCGGCAAGACGGUGACGGAGCCACGGCCCAGACGCCUACGGGAGGCAGCAGUGGGGAAUAUUGCACAAUGGGCGCCAGCCUGAUGCAGCCAUGCCGCGUGUAUGAAGAAGGCCUUCGGGUUGUAAAGUACUUGCAGCGAGGAGGCGUUACUCGCAGAAGGAGCACCGGCUAACUCCGUGCCAGCAGCCGCGGUAAUUC